CCGAACGACUGCUUGUCACCAUUUGGCAUUUAGGUGAUAUAAUUUAGAGGACAUUAUAAACGAAAUUGCAUCGACAAAAUUUUUAUUUCUCGUCCCUGAAAAAUAUAACUAUUUUCAUUUAAUUUUUUCACAGCAGUUUUUCUUUUAUUUAUUUUUCUUCGCAUUUUCUUUGUUUCUUUUCUUUGUUUCUUUUCACGAAAUGCGCUAUUUCAAGUCUUAUAUUGCCCACGUGAGUCGAUGGUUUUGCGGGCGUUCCUCUUCACGAUCACCCACACAGUGACGUCAACGAACGACGAUGUUCCAUCCGUUGCGAAACAAUAAACCCAGCAGGUUAUGAGGGGGAAUCCGGACUUCCCCUGGUGUGUAGAUGUAGUCCACGUGUUGCUUGUGUUUGGCCAUGCAUUGCAUACACGGAAGAUCAGAGAAUGCUAGUCUAGAACCUUCCAAUCCAAGUUCAAAACGUUGCCACGCUAUAGGCGAAUAGACCAGCGUAAAAAGGUAUAAGCUAAAAAGGAAUGAGUCACAGACCAUGUGGUAGUAGGGACUAGAAGAAGCCAAGCAUAGUUACAAACUUGGUCGUAUCCUAAAUAGCAAGUCAUGGCGAUUCAGCAUUCGCCUUCCAUACCUAUCCUGAAAACCCAAAACAACGCUUAAUCACCGCUUGUACGCAUCCUUGAAAAACUCCAGAUCGAAUCGGGAAAUUGCCGGAACAAUGACUUGCCGAGUUUGAGUAUAGUGCUGUAGAACACUUCUUCCAAGGCUCUUGAUAUCACCUGUCCCCAGCGAACUUCUGCACUUGGCAUAAAUACAUUUUUCUUUUAUAUCAUGCUAUUUGGUUUGAAUCGUAUUCUGAGCAAAAGAAUAAAUAAAAAAUUUGUCAAGUUUGGUAAACCACA